CAGCCUGAUGCAGCGACGCCGCGUGCGGGAUGGAGGCCUUCGGGUUGUAAACCGCUUUUGUUUGGGAGCAAGCCCUUCGGGGUGAGUGUACCUUUCGAAUAAGCACCGGCUAACUACGUGCCAGCAGCCGCGGUAAUA
rnacentral:rRNA from 1 species